AUUGAACGCUGGCGGCAGGCCUAACACAUGCAAGUCGAGCGGAGCGGCGGACGGGUGCGUAAUGCCUAGGAAUCUGCCCGGUAGUGGGGGAUAACGUCCGGAAACGGGCGCUAAUACUGCUAACUCUCAGCUGAGCCUAGGUCGGAUUAGCUAGUUGGGGGGGUAAAGGCCUACAAAGGCGACGAUCCGUAUCUGGUCUGAGAGGAUGAGCAGUCACACUGGAACUGAGACACGGUCCAGACUCCUACGGGAGGCAGCAGUGGGGAAUAUUGGACAAUGGGCGAAAGCCUGAUCCAGCCAUGCCGCGUGUGUGAAGAAGGUCUUCGGAUUGUAAAGCACUUUAAGUUGGGAGGCGUUACCAACAGAAUAAGCACCGGCUAACUUCGUGCCAGCAGCCGCGGUAAUUC
rnacentral:rRNA from 1 species